UACGUAGGGUGCGAGCGUUGUCCGGAAUUAUUGGGCGUAAAGAGCUCGUAGGCGGUUUGUCGCGUCUGCUGUGAAAACCCGAGGCUCAACCUCGGGCCUGCAGUGGGUACGGGCAGACUAGAGUGCGGUAGGGGAGAAUGGAACUCCUGGUGUAGCGGUGAAAUGCGCAGAUAUCAGGAGGAACACCGGCGGCGAAGGCGGGUCUCUGGGCCAUAACUGACGCUGAGGAGCGGAAGCGUGGGGAGCGAACAGG
rnacentral:rRNA from 1 species